rnacentral:rRNA from 1 species
UACGUGAGGGUCCGAGCGUUUGUCCGGAAUUACUGGGCGUAAAGCGCGCGCAGGCGGCCCGCGAGGUGUCACGUGAAAGCCCCGGGCUCAACCCGGGAGGGUCAUGGCAAACCGGCGGGCUUGAGGCCGGUAGAGGUGGGUGGAACUCCUGGUGGAGUGGUGAAAUGCGUAGAGAUCAGGAAGAACACCCGUGGCGGAAGGCGGCCCCACUGGGGCCGGUACUGACGCUGAGGCGCGAAGGCGUGGGGAGCGAACGGG